GAUGAACGCUGGCGGCGUGCCUAAUACAUGCAAGUCGAGCGAACGGACGAGAAGCUUGCUUCUCUGAUGUUAGCGGCGGACGGGUUAGUAACACGUGGAUAACCUACCUAUAAGACUGGGAUAACUUCGGGAAACCGUAGCUAAUACCGGAUAAUAUUUUGAACCGCAUGGUUCAAAAGUGAAAGACGGUCUUGCUGUCACUUAUAGAUGGAUCCGCGCUGCAUUAGCUAGUUGGUAAGGUAACGGCUUACCAAGGCAACGAUGCAUAGCCGACCUGAGAGGGUGAUCGGCCACACUGGAACUGAGACACGGUCCAGACUCCUACGGGAGGCAGCAGUAGGGAAUCUUCCGCAAUGGGCGAAAGCCUGACGGAGCAACGCCGCGUGAGUGAUGAAGGUCUUCGGAUCGUAAAACUCUGUUAUUAGGGAAGAACAUAUGUGUAAGUAACUGUGCACAUCUUGGCGGUACCUAAUCAGAAAGCCACGGCUAACUACGUG
rnacentral:rRNA from 1 species